rnacentral:lncRNA from 1 species
CGCUCUAACUUAACCAAGAUAAGUAAAUAGGUGUAAAUAGGAAAGAUGGUAGAAUUGAAUAAGAACAAUAUUAAAGGUAAGAUAACAGUGAGUGAUAAUAUGGGAAUAGAGAAUAGAGCAAUUCUAGUAUAUGGGCGAUGGUAGCAGAAUAGAGAGGAUAACUAUGGUUUCUCUACUUCAAAGGGUGUCUAUGUCUGGGACGAACCACGUGAUAAGAGUACACCACAAAGGAUGCUUAUCCUUAGGCCGAUAAACCCUACCCGUCCUGCUAACGAGAGGUGGACUACAGAGGACCAACGUAACUGUCACCUACGCGGCCUACCACACGAUCCAGCUAGACAGGGGAUAUCCACAAGUAAUCUAGAUCUAAGCACCUCGCUUACACCUAUACUACAACUCUCACCUAUAGCGUCCUAUAGAUUAGAAUACUCAAAAGAGUUGUGAACCAGAACAUACAUAAUUAGUAAUUGCAUAAUGAAUUAGAAGUAGAUUACCAGAGUCAUGCCAUGAGCAAGCUUGAUUAGAGCUUGAUCAUGACGAAGUACAACUGGAGGAAGAACCGACAGGCCGGCCUCUCCUCUAAUCCUCCUUCGCUCUCCAUCUUGCUACUAUCUAGAUCUACUCUAGUUUAGAGAAGAGAGGAGAGCUCUCAUCUCUAAACCCUAGCUUUUACUCUGUCUAUGAAUAAUGAAUAAUGAUCAAGGGGUGCCUCCUCCAGGGGCCAGGGGGUCUGGUUAUAUAGUCCCCUCAAGUGAACCUGGGCUGUCGGAUCAAACCGACAUUGAUUGAACGGUUAUUCUUGAUCCUUUAGGUCGGUGGAGAUCUCCCGAGAGAAAGAGUCCUGAUUGGGCUCCAAGUCAGGGCGGGCGCCCAGGGCAGGAAGGCGGGCGCCCUGCCUCUGGCCCCAUUCGGCCUCCGCUUCCUUCCCGUGGCUUCUGGAGUCUUCUAGAUGUAAGAUAAUUGCGCGGCACGUCAAUAUCUCUAUGUAAUCCCGACGUGUGGGCCUUUCUUCCGUAUUUCCUGAUAACCCCCUGCAGAAAUAGACAAACACCAAAACUCGUGGAAUUCUGUCAGAUAAAACCCUAAGUCUAGAUGUUGAUUUCAUUUGGAUCCUUUUCUUUGUUUAUUUGAUAUUAAAUUUGAUACUUAAGGACCGUCAACAAACUCUCCCAAGCUUACCUCUUGCUCGUCCCUGAGCAAGGAUAGACUCAGCAAUGGAUCAGAAGUUGUUGCAAUAUCUUUAAAAAUUUGACGGUACACAUGAUUUUAAAUAAGAUCUCAUCUCUGAGUUAGAGUAAACUGUCAAGAACUAAAACUUACUUACUUUACCUUUCACCAUGGGACUUGUAACCGUCACUUCUGUCUUGAGUAGUUAAGAGAUAGAACAGUCUAGCCAAGUGCCAUGUCUCUUUAUUCUUGAUCAGCUAUAGCUCUGGAGUUUUUGCAGAUUUUCAAAUAAAACUCAGAGAUUCCUUGUAUGACUCUCUAAAUCUCUCUUUUGUGGUAUUUCUAGAUCCUUACCAAGGCAGUGAUGGUAUAUGCCUUCUCUCAAGAUAUGUGGUAUUUGUGGUAUGAGGCAUAGUGAUAUUGCCUUCUCUCUCACCCUACUCUAAUAAGGUUUGAUAUCUAGAGCUCAUAGGUGGGAGACAGCUAAUACAUACUUACAAGACAUUUAUUGCAUAGUCAAACCAUGGAUCCAGAGAAACAAGUCAAUAAGUCAAAUCAAGAUGUGCAUGUGUGGCGAAUGAAUGGUGUAUGGUGAUGAUGGUGAUAACAAUGGUGGAAGUCUAAUUCUACUUUUGCUCUUUUGAGGGGAUACAUACCUUCCUUGCUUUUUGAAACUUUAUGAGGAGAAUGAGAUGCUCUAUCUUUCAUUUUUUUUCUUUCCUCUCAGGUGGGUAUCCUGUACCCCUAAUUCUAUUGUCGGACACUUGUCCAUUUUUACCUCUCGUCUCACUCUUUUUCUUUUCUUUCGAGGUUCCGGGCACUUGCCCCUUUUUAUUUCCUCGUAUAUUUUUUUUUCCUCUUUUUUUUAGAGCACUCAUCUCAUGAGAUAAUAUAGCAAGUGGUAGUAACAAGAUAACUUGAGCAUUUAUUUUACAAGGAAAAAUAGAAAUAUUUUUGGUUAUUCUCUCCCGGAUUAGGAGUAGAAUAUUUUUGGGUGGUUCUGGAGAUGGAAAUGAGUGGAUAUAUGUGGAUGGUACUUCCAGAGUAGAAGUAGCAUAUAUGAGUGAAUGUGCAAGUGAAAUCUUGAUUUAACCACAUGACAAGCUCCUAGGGGUCUACACAGCUUGACCACACUCAAUGCUCAUAAGCAGUAAAUAGUAAAUGUGUGGCUCAAAGUCUAGCAAGCAUGUAUAUAUGGCUGUGGUAGGAAUUUAAACUUUCAUCAUACAGGAACUCAUCAUGCAAUAUUUUAAAGAUUUUUCAAAGAUAAAAUUCUCCAGAAUUCUAGCAUCUCUAGAAACAGAUAAACAGCAGCUCAACCUUCCCAUAUCAUAUCCGUUAACAACUUAGAUUUCAGAUCAAGUUUUUAUCCCACAAGUUUAGAUCUAGAGCAAGCUUUAAAUUAUAACAGUUAUGUCUAAACUUGAGAGAGAACUUCAAAUUUGCAAAUUAGGCAGAGCAACUAUUUAUCAUAUCCAUGCUAGAGUUUUAUUAUUAAGAUUCAGAUUAGCAUAGCCACUUUAUUUAUUUAUUAAACACACUAAGCAAAAGAUAUAUAUAAGCACAAAAUAUUUAUUUGGUUUUUCAUAGUUUAUGUAUUUUAAUAUUCUAAUAUAAUAUAAGUAUAAAGAUAGGUAGAAAUACUUCGCGAGAUAAAUAGGGGUGCUCUCCCCCAAGCUGAAUUUUGAUGUAAUUUCUCUUGAUGUAGCUAGCAGGUGGCAGAGGUGUAUUUGAAAGUCAGCAGCAUUCUGACAGCGAUUAGAAUGUCCUCCGUCUGCUAGUCUUCUUGAUUCUUAAAUUCUGUGGAGCUCAAAUAGACAACAAAGCUUGUGGAACUAAUUAAGUGUUAGCAUAAAUAUCUAGCCUUCAUCAUGUUGAGCUUCCUCAAUAAAUAUUACUCCCUGUUUUUAUAUUUUUAUUUAUAAAGAAGAAAAGAAAUAUUUAUUUUAUUUUUAUGCCACCACAGUGAAGGUACUUAUGGGUUUUAUGCCACUCGUAUACUCACAUGGGGCUUAGUAUUUUUUUAACAUUUUUAUUUUCUUUUCAAGAUAGCAUGAUUAACUAAUAAUCUAUUUAAGGAAAGUAAAUAAUUAAAAGAGAAAGGGAAUGCAGAAAGGAUAAAUAUAGAUAACUACCGAUCUUAACUUUCGGCGAUGGUUCAAUGUUUUAAGUCUUCUUAACAAGACUUCUCACCGUGUUCAUUCUUCAGGUGCGUCAUUUGAUUCAGGUGCGGACCUUGACGUCUGCACCUCUUUGUUUGCCGAGCAGUUCGAAGUGCAGCGUUGGCAGUAUCCUGCUCAGUGUGUUUGUGCUCGUAGAUCCAGGUCCUUUACUUGGUAGAGUCUGAGAGUUAUAAAACUCCUCUGUGUUUUGCUCGAAGUGUACCUGCUCAUAGAGACAAGGCAGAGAUCAAGUGCAUGGGUCCUGUUGGUGGAAAACACCAACAGAACCAAAAGUGUAUUUGUUCUUCUCUAACCCUAAGCAUAGUGAGCAAGACAAAGUUGAUGGAUGAAAAGUUCAUGAGUGUAGCACUUAUAACAUUUGUCAGAUCAGAUUGCUCAACCUUAUGGAAAGAUAAUCUAUCUAUGUAUAUGUCUUUUUCUUUAUAUCUCUCAAAGAUUGAAUGUGUAACAUUUUAGCUCAUAUGAUUAGGAGUGUGGGAUCAUGGAGGUAGUACAAAGAACAAGGAUUAAAGGACUAAACAUGUUGAAUCAGUUAGGUUGGUUAAUCUAGAGUUGUAAAUCAUACAUGUUUGUCUCUUUUAUUUAUAUGAACGCUAGAACCAAGGAGAAGCUUAUAAAAGUGAUAUUCAAGUACCUUAAGAUGUUACCUUGCUUGAAGAGUGAUGGUACAGUAUCACCUUGUGGAAGCUUUCCUUUCUUAGCGAUUGUGUAUCGUGUUUGUGGCACCCUCCAUGGAUCAUCUCUCUAUGAUGAAUGAGCUAUGUCCUUCUUGUGCAAAUUGUUAAACUUCAUGUGUCACUCUCUUCGUCUCUGAUGUGAGUUUAUCUCACGACUUCCCAAAUCGAUAUUGAAAGUUUUUCUGCAGGGGUUAGUCCGACAAAAAUAUACCAAUGUCUACACAAGCAGUUUUUAGUUCAAUAACCGAACUAGACUCCAUGUCUAAUCAUAUUAAGGAAGGCUGUUUAACCUAAGCACCAUGCUUAAUUUAAAAGCCAAUAGAAGUAUGUGCAGUACUUCCAAACUAACACUUACUAGUAAAUAGACAAAGGUAGCAUGACAACAUUUAUAGAGAUCUACUCAAGUGGAGAUGAAGUAGUGUGAUUAGUAUUUAACAAAUUGAGCAUGUCUUAAAGGUAGGGACAACCAAAAUAGCAACAUGGCAAAGGAUGUUUUUAUGUAAAGUACUCCCCCAAGCUUGAAUUUUGCAGAAUUCAAGUUUGGAUGAAUUUAAUUCAAUGUUGUAUGAUGAUUGGUUGGACAUACCUUGUGCUUGUCAUUCAUCCGAUCUUCUUGCUCCAAUCCUGUAAAGGUUAGUGACAAGAAUACCCGAAGGAAUAUUUUUACAAUUAUCUUUAUAUGCUCAAUACACAAGGUAAUGUUGCAAAUAAUUAAAAACUCAUGUUACGAUCUGAUCAGUGCUUAUUUUAGGACACUAAGCUUGUCCUUGGGAAACCAUCAAUUUAUGUCGGCGAAGUGGUUUCCCUUCCAACGCUGACCUAAAUCAAGAUCAACUCAACGAGAUCUGCAAUAUUUAUUAUAGACAUAUGCAUCGACAACCGCCCUUUUAAAGUUUUUAUAAAUAGAAAGGAAGAGGGGGUUGGAGAUCUCAAAUGUGGUGAUGUUGGAGAGACCAAUAGAUUGGGAAGAUGUUGCAUACGAGCAUGGAGUAAACAAAGUGGCUAUGAAAUAAAUUCCAUGCUCAUUAAUGUUAUCUUCGUCUCCAAUCUGAAUGUUCAGAGUUCCUCUUGGAUUGGUCUCACUUAUGUCCUCUUCUAUAGUUGGAUGAAUCCCAUCUUCAAAAGGAGUCAAGAACUCACCAUUUGAAAUUGAACCAAAGUCAGAAUUCAUUAAGGCUUCUUCCUUAUCCAUCCAUUCUACACAUUCUAGACAUUUAGAACUUGUGAUCGGGAAAGGGGAGGUGUUAGAAUUUUCAAUAUGGCUUAGCUCUCCUUUACUUGAUGUGUCAUCCUCGACUUCUUCAUAACAGGAACCAGGACAUUCUCUAAGAGAACCAUUAUUACGAGGAUUUGAAUUAUCCCUGCUUGAAGGUCUCUUAUGGAACCAGAAGUCUAAACCAUCAGCAUCUGAAAGAUUUAAGGUCGGAAUUCCUUCCUCCCAUGGAGAAUUUUGGGGUAUUGAUGGUUUAGGAUCGAUAGCUAAAGUUUGGAAUUGAAGUGGUUGUGAUCUGGCUAUCGAAACUUCUUCUUCUUGUCUAGGAACUGGUUCUAUCUCUUUCUCAGGGAUAUAAAAGCUAGGAGACUUUCCACUUAAUAAAUCAAUCAAAUUCCAAGCUUCACUAGCAGGUAGGUGAUAGAAGGAUCCUCUAGAGGCUGUAUUCAAGGUUUGCUUAUUUUCCCUACUAAGGCCCUCAAAAAAGUGAAUUAGAAGAACUUCUUCUGGAAUAGAAAGCUUUGGGCCAGUGAGAGUAAGGUUAAUAAAGCGGUCCCAUGAUUUCCUAAAAGAUUCUUUUUCCAGUUGUCUAAAAGAAAUAAUCUCACGCCGAAGUUACGCCACUUUGGAGAUUGGAAAAUAUUUAGAAAGAAAACUACUAUAUAACUCCUUCCAAUCUCUAUGAACACUCCCUAUUUUGAGUUUGUACCAAUGUCUAGCUUUUCCCGUUAAAGAGAACGGAAAGAGCUUCCAUUUGAGGGUCUCAUCGGACAUUCCUUCUAUGCGAAGGAGGUCACAGACUCGAUAAAACUCUCUUAGGUGUGUGUAUGGUUCCUCACCUUCUCCUGAGAAAGGUUGUUUUUGAACAAAUUCUAUGUAUUCGGGGUCUAUCUCAAAACUAGAUGCUAUGAUAGGCUUUGAAGAUUUUGGUGGUUCGAGAUGUGUGCCCGUAGGUCUAUGAAAUUCAUAGAUAGACAUGUUUGAAUUCAUGAUAGACCAGAGAUCAAGGAUUAGAUAAGAAGAAAGAUUAGCAGAGAUGAGGCAAAGGAUAAAAGGAUUUUUUUUAUUUUUUUUAGAAAAUGAUUAAGCUAGUUCGUAGUCAACUCAGCAACCGUUUCCCCGGCAACGGCGCCAAAAAUGCUUGUUGACACUUGCUAACACCACUUGAAUACUAGGUUGUCAUCCCCAGCAUGGCACUAGAGUGUACUAUGGUAUUUAUACGCACACAGAUAAUCCGCAAGCGCACGGAUACCGUUGAAGCUUUUACCCGGUUAAAGGUUUUAUCGUAUCCACAGGGAAACAGGAGAAGUGAUCUACGCUCUAACUUAACCAAGAUAAGUAAAUAGGUGUAAAUAGGAAAGAUGGUAGAAUUGAAUAAGAACAAUAUUAAAGGUAAGAUAACAGUGAGUGAUAAUAUGGGAAUAGAGAAUAGAGCAAUUCUAGUAUAUGGGCGAUGGUAGCAGAAUAGAGAGGAUAACUAUGGUUUCUCUACUUCAAAGGGUGUCUAUGUCUGGGACGAACCACGUGAUAAGAGUACACCACAAAGGAUGCUUAUCCUUAGGCCGAUAAACCCUACCCGUCCUGCUAACGAGAGGUGGACUACAGAGGACCAACGUAACUGUCACCUACGCGGCCUACCACACGAUCCAGCUAGACAGGGGAUAUCCACAAGUAAUCUAGAUCUAAGCACCUCGCUUACACCUAUACUACAACUCUCACCUAUAGCGUCCUAUAGAUUAGAAUACUCAAAAGAGUUGUGAACCAGAACAUACAUAAUUAGUAAUUGCAUAAUGAAUUAGAAGUAGAUUACCAGAGUCAUGCCAUGAGCAAGCUUGAUUAGAGCUUGAUCAUGACGAAGUACAACCGGAGAAAGAACCGACAGGCCGGCCUCUCCUCUAAUCCUCCUUCGCUCUCCAUCUUGCUACUAUCUAGAUCUACUCUAGUUUAGAGAAGAGAGGAGAGCUCUCAUCUCUAAACCCUAGCUUUUACUCUGUCUAUGAAUAAUGAAUAAUGAUCAAGGGGUGCCUCCUCCAGGGGCCAGGGGGUCUGGUUAUAUAGUCCCCUCAAGUGAACCUGGGCUGUCGGAUCAAACCGACAUUGAUUGAACGGUUAUUCUUGAUCCUUUAGGUCGGUGGAGAUCUCCCGAGAGAAAGAGUCCUGAUUGGGCUCCAAGUCAGGGCGGGCGCCCAGGGCAGGAGGGCGGGCGCCCUGCCUCUGGCCCCAUUCGGCCUCCGCUUCCUUCCCGUGGCUUCUGGAGUCUUCUAGAUGUAAGAUAAUUGCGCGGCACGUUAAUAUCUCUAUGUAAUCCCGACGUGUGGGCCUUUCUUCCGUAUUUCCUGAUAACCCCCUGCAGAAAUAGACAAACACCAAAACUCGUGGAAUUCUGUCAGAUAAAACCCUAAGUCUAGAUGUUGAUUUCAUUUGGAUCCUUUUCUUUGUUUAUUUGAUAAUUAAAUUUGAUACUUAAGGACGUCAACAAACUCUCCCAAGCUUACCUCUUGCUCGUCCCUGAGCAAGGAUAGACUCAGCAAUGGAUCAGAAGUUGUUGCAAUAUCUUUAAAAAUUUGACGGUACACAUGAUUUUAAAUAAGAUCUCAUCUCUGAGUUAGAGUAAACUGUCAAGAACUAAAACUUACUUACUUUACCUUUCACCAUGGGACUUGUAACCGUCACUUCUGUCUUGAGUAGUUAAGAGAUAGAACAGUCUAGCCAAGUGCCAUGUCUCUUUAUUCUUGAUCAGCUAUAGCUCUGGAGUUUUUGCAGAUUUUCAAAUAAAACUCAGAGAUUCCUUGUAUGACUCUCUAAAUCUCUCUUUUGUGGUAUUUCUAGAUCCUUACCAAGGCAGUGAUGGUAUAUGCCUUCUCUCAAGAUAUGUGGUAUUUGUGGUAUGAGGCAUAGUGAUAUUGCCUUCUCUCUCACCCUACUCUAAUAAGGUUUGAUAUCUAGAGCUCAUAGGUGGGAGACAGCUAAUACAUACUUACAAGACAUUUAUUGCAUAGUCAAACCAUGGAUCCAGAGAAACAAGUCAAUAAGUCAAAUCAAGAUGUGCAUGUGUGGCGAAUGAAUGGUGUAUGGUGAUGAUGGUGAUAACAAUGGUGGAAGUCUAAUUCUACUUUUGCUCUUUUGAGGGGAUACAUACCUUCCUUGCUUUUUGAAACUUUAUGAGGAGAAUGAGAUGCUCUAUCUUUCAUUUUUUUUCUUUCCUCUCAGGUGGGUAUCCUGUACCCCUAAUUCUAUUGUCGGACACUUGUCCAUUUUUACCUCUCGUCUCACUCUUUUUCUUUUCUUUCGAGGUUCCGGGCACUUGCCCCUUUUUAUUUCCUCGUAUAUUUUUUUUUCCUCUUUUUUUUAGAGCACUCAUCUCAUGAGAUAAUAUAGCAAGUGGUAGUAACAAGAUAACUUGAGCAUUUAUUUUACAAGGAAAAAUAGAAAUAUUUUUGGUUAUUCUCUCCCGGAUUAGGAGUAGAAUAUUUUUGGGUGGUUCUGGAGAUGGAAAUGAGUGGAUAUAUGUGGAUGGUACUUCCAGAGUAGAAGUAGCAUAUAUGAGUGAAUGUGCAAGUGAAAUCUUGAUUUAACCACAUGACAAGCUCCUAGGGGUCUACACAGCUUGACCACACUCAAUGCUCAUAAGCAGUAAAUAGUAAAUGUGUGGCUCAAAGUCUAGCAAGCAUGUAUAUAUGGCUGUGGUAGGAAUUUAAACUUUCAUCAUACAGGAACUCAUCAUGCAAUAUUUUAAAGAUUUUUCAAAGAUAAAAUUCUCCAGAAUUCUAGCAUCUCUAGAAACAGAUAAACAGCAGCUCAACCUUCCCAUAUCAUAUCCGUUAACAACUUAGAUUUCAGAUCAAGUUUUUAUCCCACAAGUUUAGAUCUAGAGCAAGCUUUAAAUUAUAACAGUUAUGUCUAAACUUGAGAGAGAACUUCAAAUUUGCAAAUUAGGCAGAGCAACUAUUUAUCAUAUCCAUUUGCCAACCAGGACAGUGAGGUCCAAACGGUGCUGCACUGCCGUCUCCGUCUUUUUUGCCCAUUUGCNNNNNNNNNNNNNNNNNNNNNNNNNNNNNNNNNNNNNNNNNNNNNNNNNNNNNNNNNNNNNNNNNNNNNNNNNNNNNNNNNNNNNNNNNNNNNNNNNNNNAAAGAAAAAAAAAAAAAAAAAAAAAAAAAAAGGGGACUUUUCCCUUUUGUCACGACGCAGGCCUAGACAUGGCAAAGUGUUGGGGCGGGGUGGCCGAUAUGUAGAAAUACUUCGCGAGAUAAAUAGGGGUGCUCUCCCCCAAGCUGAAUUUUGAUGUAAUUUCUCUUGAUGUAGCUAGCAGGUGGCAGAGGUGUAUUUGAAAGUCAGCAGCAUUCUGACAGCGAUUAGAAUGUCCUCCGUCUGCUAGUCUUCUUGAUUCUUAAAUUCUGUGGAGCUCAAAUAGACAACAAAGCUUGUGGAACUAAUUAAGUGUUAGCAUAAAUAUCUAGCCUUCAUCAUGUUGAGCUUCCUCAAUAAAUAUUACUCCCUGUUUUUAUAUUUUUAUUUAUAAAGAAGAAAAGAAAUAUUUAUUUUAUUUUUAUGCCACCACAGUGAAGGUACUUAUGGGUUUUAUGCCACUCGUAUACUCACAUGGGGCUUAGUAUUUUUUUAACAUUUUUAUUUUCUUUUCAAGAUAGCAUGAUUAACUAAUAAUCUAUUUAAGGAAAGUAAAUAAUUAAAAGAGAAAGGGAAUGCAGAAAGGAUAAAUAUAGAUAACUACCGAUCUUAACUUUCGGCGAUGGUUCAAUGUUUUAAGUCUUCUUAACAAGACUUCUCACCGUGUUCAUUCUUCAGGUGCGUCAUUUGAUUCAGGUGCGGACCUUGACGUCUGCACCUCUUUGUUUGCCGAGCAGUUCGAAGUGCAGCGUUGGCAGUAUCCUGCUCAGUGUGUUUGUGCUCGUAGAUCCAGGUCCUUUACUUGGUAGAGUCUGAGAGUUAUAAAACUCCUCUGUGUUUUGCUCGAAGUGUACCUGCUCAUAGAGACAAGGCAGAGAUCAAGUGCAUGGGUCCUGUUGGUGGAAAACACCAACAGAACCAAAAGUGUAUUUGUUCUUCUCUAACCCUAAGCAUAGUGAGCAAGACAAAGUUGAUGGAUGAAAAGUUCAUGAGUGUAGCACUUAUAACAUUUGUCAGAUCAGAUUGCUCAACCUUAUGGAAAGAUAAUCUAUCUAUGUAUAUGUCUUUUUCUUUAUAUCUCUCAAAGAUUGAAUGUGUAACAUUUUAGCUCAUAUGAUUAGGAGUGUGGGAUCAUGGAGGUAGUACAAAGAACAAGGAUUAAAGGACUAAACAUGUUGAAUCAGUU